AUGUGUGAUACGGAAACUACUUCUCUCAAUGUGAAUAAGAACCGUAUGCGUGCUGUCAAUAACUAUGUCAAGCAAUGUGGUAUGUUUGAUCUGGGGUUUAGUGGACCGGCUUAUACUUGGACAAAUAUGCAGUUCUCCUCUAGACCUAUCUUUGAAAGGCUUGAUCGUUGUCUUGCCAAUGCAGAUUGGUGUGUUAUGUUUCCUAAUACUAAUGUUUUUAAUUUACCAAUCAUUCAUUCGUUGAGUGAUCAUGCACCUAUUCUGAUAUCCACUGAUUCUCAGUUCCAUAGGCCUAAACUACACUUUAAAUUUGAAAAUUGGUGGACUUUUGAGGAAGAUUUCCAGGGCAUUGCUAAAAAUGCUUGGGACUCCUCGGUUAAUAGACCAUUCCAUGUCAGAACCAAUAACCUUGCAGGGACUUUGAAAAGGUGGUGCAAAAAGAAAAAACCUUUACAACAUCAACUUGAUUGUAUUCAGGAUCAGAUCAAUGAGAUUCAAAUGAAGCUGGUGCAUCUCCAAGACUAUUCCCUUCAGGCAAGCCUAGUUGCCUAA
rnacentral:rRNA from 1 species